GUCCAGCUGCUUCACAGGCAACUGGUAACCACCUCAUUUGGGGAUGCUUCUGCGUUGCUAGCAGUGCCAGAGAGAACUUCGUCAUUGUCACCUCAUCAGAGACUACUUUUUCAGAUCUCUUCUGUAGGGCUAGAUUCGGACCAAAGCCUCUGAUAUUUAGAGGUGAACCAGACAAUGGGAAUCACUGGGGAUUAACAACUGGGCUAUGUGAAUCUUGAUAUAUGGUAAGCUUUUCUUUCCCCAGAAAAUAUUUUAUCAGUGAAUAAAGUAGUAAAUCAAAAUGUU
rnacentral:lncRNA from 1 species